GCGAUACUGGAAGCUAUUGUCAAAUGAUUGUCAAAACAAACUACAAGGAACCAUCCAAAACAGAGAUUGAUUUUGGUGUGUGUUUUUUUAUAAUUACCUGAAUCCUGUGUUUUAAUUGUUCAUUAUAUCUAAGGAUGGCGCCUUUAAGAAAAGUCUCAGAUCGACAAAUGGACAUUUUGUUGGAGUUCGUUGAAAGACAUAAAGAGCUUGCUGUUGGCCGGUACCCUCCCGGCCCACUAGGCAUACAAUCAGCACGUUGGCUAUGGGACAGUGCAGCAUUACAAUUAUAUGAAUUAUAUUCAAUUGGGUCUGGAGUUACAAAAACUGGUCAAAAAUUCUGAUGGGCAUUCACAUGUAAAGUGGCAAUGUGCAAUCAUAACUUAAACAAGGUUAAAGUAGAAAAAAUAUUUUAAUAAUGAUUAUAGUAAGACUGGUAGAAGCAAAAUGUGAAAGGAAGUUAUGUGAUUUAAAAUCAAAAAUAAAAGCCAUUAAUAUAAAUUGUGUUUUUUAUUACUAAAUUAUACAUAUACAGCAAAAAUCAGCCUAUCAGAGUCAGGUUAUUUUAGUUCCUUGAAAUUCACAGCCUCUGGACAAGGUUGGCCCUCAUGCGCCCUAUCUGCAUCAGCAGCACCAUAAGCCACGUUACCAAUAUGCUGCACCCGAAUGUUACCAGCAGCAGGCAAGUUGUCGUCACUGGUAUAUUGUGUGCAUUUGCUAUAUUGUGUAGUACACAA